GACGAACGCUGGCGGCGUGCUUAACACAUGCAAGUCGAACGGAAAGGCCCUGCUUUUGUGGGGUGCUCGAGUGGCGAACGGGUGAGUAACACGUGAGUAACCUGCCCUUGACUUUGGGAUAACUUCAGGAAACUGGGGCUAAUACCGGAUAGGAGCUCCUGCUGCAUGGUGGGGGUUGGAAAGUUUCGGCGGUUGGGGAUGGACUCGCGGCUUAUCAGCUUGUUGGUGGGGUAGUGGCUUACCAAGGCUUUGACGGGUAGCCGGCCUGAGAGGGUGACCGGCCACAUUGGGACUGAGAUACGGCCCAGACUCCAACGGGAGGCAGCGGUGGGGAGUAUUGCACAGUGGGCGGGAGCCUGAUGCAGCAACGCCGCGUGCGGGAUGACGGCCUUCGGGUUGUAAACCGCUUUCGCCUGUGACGAAGCGUGAGUGACGGUAAUGGGUAAAGAAGCACCGGCUAACUACGUG
rnacentral:rRNA from 1 species